rnacentral:misc_RNA from 1 species
GGCUAAAUAAAGAAGUGUUGAGGAUUCAUACAACCAACAGUGCGGGAAUUAAUUAAAUUAGGCUAGUUAGUUUUGAACUAGGUCUUCAGUUCUCAGUUCUUUUCAAGGUAUUCAAGAAAGAAACCUUCAAAUAGAGAAAAUUACAGACACUUGUCAUACCCAACAACAUGACAUAGAUUCAAGUUAACAAGUACAGCAUGUUGAAAAAUUAUACUCUAAGGGCAUCCUCUAUGGAUAGAAAAUGAAAUGUUCAGUUAAAAU